AAAAACUUUCAACAACGGAUCUCUUGGCUCUGGCAUCGAUGAAGAACGCAGCGAAAUGCGAUACGUAAUGUGAAUUGCAGAAUUCAGCGAACCAUCGAAUCUUUGAACGCACAUUGCGCCCGCCAGUAUUCUGGCGGGCAUGCCUGUCCGAGCGUC
rnacentral:rRNA from 1 species